UCACGAAUCAUUGGCAAUGCGCGAAAGCGUGACCAUGCAAUGCCGCGUGGGCGAAGAAGGCCUUCGGGUUGUAAAGCCCUGUCAGGGGUGAGGAAACGUAUUUCUAUACUUGACGUUAGCCCCAGAGGAAGUCACGGCUAACUCCGUGCCAGCAGCCGCGGUAAUACGGAGGUGGCAAACGUUGCUCGGAAUCACUGGGCUUAAAGGGCGUGUAGGCGGUGAACUAAGUCGGAUGUGAAAGCUCCCGGCCCAACCGGGAAACUGCAUUCGAAACUGGUUCGCUAGAGUGCGGGAGGGGCAAGUGGAACUCCAGGUGUAGCGGUGAAAUGCGUAGAUAUCUGGAGGAACGCCGGUGGCGAAAGCGACUUGCUGGACCGCAACUGACGCUGAGGCGCGAAAGCUAGGGGAGCGAACGGGAUUAGAUACCCCCGUAGUCC
rnacentral:rRNA from 1 species